AACGAACAACGAACCGUACUGAAACGCUACUCAGCGGGAAAGGUCAGCUAGCCUUCCCUUUCCCGUUGUUUCCGUUCGACUUGUCCCGUUUAAUCGUGGAUGAUCGGCGGCGAUUCCGAUCCGGGGGUCUUGGAGAAAAAUGUCGUGAACGCGCAAGAACGGGAACGGACCGCGAGUGCCGGAAAGUAGUAUCAGCAGAAGUACUAGUAGCAGCAAUGAGAUAUAUAACCAGGUACCUAAUCACUCGUGCGUACAAACACGAACGCUAAUUCUCGCCUACGAUACGGGGGCCUAGCUAAAAACCGCGUCGGUGCAUAGUCGUUCCCCGUCGACGUCACACGUGAGCCUGCACGUGCCCCGAAAACUAUACGACUGCGAAUCGCGCGACGACGACCACGACCUGCCCCGUCCCGCUCGGCGAAAGAAUAACAACAACGUUCCCUCGGCCCGGGGACUUCUCCGACGCGAUCAUCUGCGAUACGAUUUUGCUACUUGAGACGGAUCGGGCCGGCGGAGAGCUACGCCGAAACGUUCCAGAUCGGUUACGGUCGAUCACGAUAGAACUCUAUAUCCGGCAGCGACCGACGCAGAGAAAAAUCAUUCACGAGCAUCCGACGCCUUUUCUUAACGUAUGACGAGCGGAUCUGGCGUGUGCCUCCAGUAAUCCUCGAGAGUAUCACUCGUAUCCCCGUCCAUCGUGAUAUAUCCGUGAUGUUCCGCCGGAUAAGCUCCAGAGGGUAUCGGUGUGCCAGCUCCUGGAGGAAACCGCCAGCAGAUUCUUCAGGAAAACAUCGCGUUUCAAAAUAAUGGAGCACUACGUCAGAGUGCAGCGACUAGAGAAUACUACACCCCCUGCCCCUCGCCUGUCUCGCGAGAUUUCUUUGUACUUCUGCGGAUUAUACUUUCCAUGCGAUGAUGAAAUAUAUUGGAGUAAAUGAACUAGGGUGAUCAAUAACUUAUGACGCGUUACGAUAUCUUAAUUUUACUCCCAAGUAUAGCAACCGGAUAAUUAAAUAUUCAGUUCUAUAUAAUGGUCAUUUUAAACCAUGAAGAUCUUCGUGUAACAAUUUGGAAAAGUGUUCCACAAUUUUAAGUGGAUGAAUGUGAUCAAAAGAUUAAAUUAACGUUAACUAAAAGGUUAAAUUAUCUUUAACUUAAUUAAUGGUUAAAUUAACUUUAAUUUAGCUGAAUCUUUUUAGAAUGAAUACGACUGGCACAUAUCUAUGAAACGUACGUUUUCAAUUUUCAACAGAAGUUCGGAUAAAAAAGUUU